AACAUUUGACAAUCGCUGCAAUUUGUAGAGGAAAGUCCAUGCUCGCACAACCUGUGAUGGUUGUAGUGAUUAUGCUAGGUUAAUAAAUAAGCCUAGGUAGUGAAAACUAACGGCUAGCGAUGUCCUAAAAGGUAACUCAUGGACUAGCUUAUAAAAGUGUCAAAGAGACGAGCUUUAUAGAAAUAUAAAGAAUGGAACGUGAUAAACCCCAUAAGCGAGAAACCCAAAUUUGGUAGGGGAACCCUAUAUGCAAAACGAAGCUAAAAGGGAUACGAAAGUAUAGAUAAAUGAUUGUCUAAUACAGAACAUGGCUUAUAAAU
rnacentral:RNase_P_RNA from 1 species